rnacentral:lncRNA from 1 species
UCUGCCUCUCACCCUCCUACUGCUGCCGAAGGAUACAUUUCUGAAAAUGUGCUGCAGAUGUGAAUAUUUUCUGCAAGUGCCUGUGGCUGACCCAGGCUACUGACGCAGUCAGCCUGCUCAGCACUGCUUCUCUGGAACAAACCCUUGACCCCUCUUCCUUUCUCUCAACUUGGACUUUCAGCCCUUUCUAUCCCACUUUAUCCUGAAGCUCUGCUUGGCUGGCUUAGCUGUUAAUUUUUUUUUUUUUUUAAUUCCAUAGCUUUAACUCUUCUAAGAAUUCUGUCAUUGUCUCUUUUGAUAAUUAAGUACUCUCCACCAAUGUAGUCCCCUAGGAGGGGAGGGGUUCAGGAGAGAGGAGAAAAAAACAGAAGAGAAUUAACAUGAAUUAAGCAAAGAUUCUGGGCCAGGCACCAAAGCUAAGGAGCUUCAUACGUUAUCUCUUUAAUCUCCUCAAAACUUUGAGAAUGGAUCAUUGUUAGCUCAUUUUACAAACAGGAAAAUGAAAGAUUUGAAAGAUGCUCCUUUUGUCUGGAAGCUUCAGCUAUAUGCCAUCUCAAGUUCCAUCUUCCUGGAAAACCCUUGUAAAUCCACCACUGUUAGGCUUAGCCAUCAUCUCCUUGAUGAAGCCUAUCCCUGACCUCUGCCCAAGAGAUGGGGGUCUUGCUAUGUUGCCUAGGCUGGUGUAUAGUGGCUAUUUACAGGCACAGUCAUAGCCUCAGCCUUCCAAGUAGCUGGUACUACAGGUGCGGCCAACAUGCCUCGCUAAGCUGAACCAUUUUAAAACUAUGGAAAUAAUGUUAGACAAAAAGCAAAUUCAAACGAUUUUCUUAUUCAAAUUCAAAAUGGGUCAUAAAAUAGCAGAGACAACUCGCAACAUCAAAAAUGCAUUUGGCCCAGGAACUGCUAAUGAAGAAAUGUACAGUGCAGUGGUGGUUCAAGAAGUUUUGCAAAGCAGAAGAGAGCCUUGAAGAUGAGGAGCAUAGUGGCCAGCCAUCAGAAGUUGACAACAACCAACUGAGAGCACUCAUGGAAGCUGAUCCUCUUACAAACACAUGAGAAGUUGCCCAAGAACUCAACGUCAACCAUUCUAUGGUUGUUCAUCAUUGAAGCAGAUGGAAAGGCAAAGAAGCUCGAUAAAUGGGUGCCUCACGAGCUCAGCAAACAUAAAAUAAAACCAUCAUUUUGAAGUAUCAUCUCUUAGUCUACACAACAAUAACGAACCAUUUCUCCAUCGGAUUGUGCAAUGAAAAGUGAAUUUUGUAUGACAACUGGUGAUGACCAGCUCAGUGAUUGGAUCAAGAAAGAAGCUCCAAAGUCCCAAAGCCAAACUUGUACCAAAAAAGGUCAUGGUCACUGGGAUCUGCUGCCGGUUAUGAUCCUCUACAGCUUUCUGAAUCCCAGUGAAACCAUUACAUCUGAGAAGCAUGCUCAGCAAAUCGAUGAGAUGCACUGAAAACCGCAAUGCCUGCAGCCGGCAUUGGUCAACAGAAAGGGCCCAAUUCACCACGACAAUGCUUGACGGCACAUCACACAACCAAUGCUUCAAAAGUUGAAUGAAUUGGGCUACAAAGUUUUGCCUCAUCCACCAUAUUCACUUGAUCUCUCGCCAACCAGCUACCACUUCUUCAAGCAUCUCAACAACUUUUUGCAGGGAUAAUGCUUCCACAACCAGCAGGAUGCAAAAAAUGCUUUCCAAGAGUUUGUCGAAUCCCAAAGCUCGAAUUUUUAUACUGCAGGAAUAAACAAACUUAUUUCUUGUUGGCAAAAA